GCACCGAUCUCUUAAAGCUUCUGCAAUGUUUGAUUUAUACGGUCUCAAAGAUGAGAAUAUUUUGUGCGCUACUUCCUUUGAAGCAUGCAUCGGUGACAAGUACACCAGUUCCGUAGAUCAAUGCUUUCAAGGACUCUUGGAUAGGUGAUUUGUCACCAGGAAGUACAUCAGCAGAUGCCAUUGAUUCCUCUGAAAAAUCAUAAACUGACACUGUACGACCAUAAAGUAUUAUUCCAAUUCUUGCUGUAGGGGGGAGUGAGUGAAUCCGCAAAUGCAUGCAAAGAGCUUUGUAAAUGCUGCAGGUGGGGUUCAUCUAAACAGUCAUCUAUAACAAGUACAACGGGUGCAGACAUUCUGGAAUCAGAAACAGGAAUAAAACCAGGUCUCUUGUUCCCAGUUUGAACAUAAUCAACAAUGGGAGAUGAAAGUUCUGGAAAGUUGCGAAGAUCUUCUUUGCUUGGAGCUACAUAUUCACCUUCACUUCCAUUCAGUAUCUGGCAAAUCACACAUUGCCACUGGCCUGAACCAAGUAAUAUCUUGCAAUAAAGAUUUGCAUAAGCUCCACAAUUGUGGCAACGAUGAGGAUCGCGCUGUAAUAUUUGAGGACCUGGAAAAAUCUCUCUCCCGGGAGAAAAUAAUGCCCCAAAGCCCAAACUUGGAACAUUUGUUAGUUUCUUUUGCUUCAAGACCUAAUAACAAAAUGAACCGAGCUCGAGUUCAAUUGAAAAUUGCAACUCCAAUGUAAACAAAAAAAUCACAAGAUUCAAGGAUAUAUAUAGGUGAGGCAUUUGGAAAGAAAGGAUAAUCUGACAACAAUUUAUUAACCAAACAAAAAGGUGCUCUCAAAAUCACAACAACAAUCUCAUAAAAGACAGAAAAGAAAAAAAAUUCCCACAACAAUUGGUGCCUUCAGUUUGUACAGGAGAGAGAAUGAUAGAGAUACCUUGUGAGCAGAGAACAAAGCACAUGAUGAUUCAUUGACAAGUGUCGAGUCCUCUGUAGCAAGGGGAACUUGGUGCUGCAACUCAACUGAACCAUUUAAAAAAUGAGGAGGCGAGGAUGUUGGCAAUGUUGAGCCUGAUGAGAAAGCAAUUGGUUGAGGAGUUGCAGGAGAAGUCCGAAAAGGCACAGCAGCAGGCCGGACUGGCGAUUUAAAAACAGGAGGACCAGGGGGGGUGCUUAGAUGAGGAAGGGGGCUCCUAACCCCAUUGGCAGGUGACAACAAAUUUGGGUUCUGGAAAAAAGGGGAAGGGAUCUGAUCUUGUAGCAAUUUAGGAGGAGGAAAUCGAGGAGCUCCAGGUAACAUUGUAGCAGGAGGAGCUGAAUUUUUAUCUAGUUGAGGGGUUGAUGAGUCAGAGUUUGAGGGAGUAACAGUAGAAUAUCCAAGGGAAGGUGGUGGUGGAUUAGUCAUUGCAAUUCAAAGUUUCUCUAUCGAAUAAUCAAGAAUAACCUAGAAGCCAAAAUCAAACUCUAUAGAAAGCUACAGACAGUUGUAUCCCAGGGCCAAUUAUGACAAGAGAAUUCAAAGUGACAACUUUGAGACUGUCAAUUGAUUAUUGAUUGAAAUUCAAUUAAGAAUCAUAAACAAAACAGCCUACAAAGGUCUGAUACACCGGCAGCUCAAGAAUUGCAAUCCAAUCUCAAUAUUGAUGCGGAAGAAGAUACCGAAUGGGAUGACCUUGACAAACCAAAACCCCCAAGUAAAAUCUAAAACCCCAGAGCAAGAAAGGGCUUUGAUGCAAAUCCAGUUCAAGAAAUCCCCAGUAAAAUCAAGAACCCAACUAAAGAACCAAAAUUAUCAGCUUCAGAGAUCAAAUUGAAUGCAAGAAAACCUGAUCUCUCCGCAUAAUUGGGCACCAAAAUCUUCCUCUCGCACAGACAUCUGAAAGAAAAGGAGACCAGUUAGAAUUCCACUUUGUGUCAAGAAAAAGGAUCUAGUUUUCUUCAGCAAAACAAAACCAAUAUUGAAUGAAAUUGAGACGAGGACAGUAGAAUCGACGUACCUGAGAGGGAAAGAAGGAAAAUUGAAAGAUUUGCAGAGUAAAUCUUCAGUCCCUUUUUUAAAAAUCUUAAUUAAAAAAUGGAAAUAUUUUCGAAGUGAUUUUAUAAUCUUUUUGGAUUCUGGGUCCUUUGUCCUCGCAAGCUAGGGAGCUCUCUCUCGUCUCCUGUUGUGUUCGAUUUUCCUUUUACACGAGAGGGAGAAGACAGCAACGUUGCAGUUUGGUCCACAUAAAGUCAACAGGCCAUUUUUUAAUUGUCUUUCUGUAACAGGAUGAAUCGCGAAUGAAGAUCUCCGAUGUCGUUCCAACCCUUCGUUAAAUUAAUUCAACUUCCUCCGAAUUACGGCCCUCGUUACUUUGCGCCUGCAAAGCCCCACUCUGUGAAUCGAAUAAAAAGAAAACACUAAAUUACAAAUUACGUUUACAAAAUAUUAUAAUAAAACUUUAUCAAUAAGAUAAAUUUACACGUUUAUAUAAAAAAAUUAUCUAUUUAUUUUUUUAUUAUCAUCAUCAUUAUUUUUAUUUUAUUUUUAAAAUGAUUUAGGAAAAAAAACGUUAAGGUAAAUAUUUUAAAAAUAUUAGUUCUAACAUUAAUUUUUUUUUAUUAGAGUGAAUCAGGAAUUGAACUCUAAAUUACUUUCAUAUUAUUUGGAUCUCCUUUGGGAACUGCAAAUGGAAAACUUCACGAAGAAUCAUGCCUGAAAGAGGCGGAGCAAAGGAGAUCCGACAUGCCAUCAAAAUAACGGUGAAGAUGGGACAAAACCAGGAAGGCUUUAUUGCUCAUCCAAAGCAUUUCAACCGGGAAACAGUAUAGGACGGGGACCACUUCAAACCUUUUCAAGUGACGGUGAGUACAGAUGUUUUCUUUGUGAAAAAAAAAUAUUAAGGAUGAGAUCAUAGCCGCCGAAGACACCAUCCAGGUUACACCCCCUCGACCACGGAAAGAACAAAAAAAUAGAGACGGGAGAAGAUGGGUUUCCACGGGCGAGGCAGGAUGCAGUUCCCAAGACUCCCUUUUCUUGGAAGUACAUUAGCAAUUAAAUAAUGUAAAACUACAAAUUAACUUGGUUCUGGGGGCACCACUUUCAGACUCCGCAUCCACUCGCAGAAACUUGGAUCAUCAAAGUGAAUAAAGCUGCUUUUUAGCUUUGUUCGUUGUUCUGUUGUCAGAGAUCGAAGCUGCGGGAAUCUUGCCUCCUGCAAUCAAGUUCCAUCAAUUUGGUAAAAAUCCAACACUAUAAGCCUACUAAUAUUAUUGACCAAGAGCUUAUUUUUCUCUUUUCCACCAUAACCUGUUCAUAAGGUGGGUCCUUGUGUGCAGGUAUCAGCCGAGAAACAAAAUAUCUAGCUUGAGAGCUUCCCUCCUGUCAUUAACCCAAACCAACAAGUUGAUCAGUUCGGCCACAAAAGGAAAAAACUUAGGACAAAGGUGCACAGAAAUGGAUUGCAAAGAAUCAAGGGAAGAAAAACCUUGAAUGCAAGGAUUCUAGGUGCUGGAAACCGCAAUUCAGUUAUCUCUUCAGCUAAUGUUCUGCAGGCAGCUAAAGCAGCUGCACUUCUUCCUUCAUCAGCGGCUAGCUCAGCACCCUGUAGUUAGCAGUUAUUGAGAAAGUAUCUUUGUAUAUCAGGACAUAAAUGCCAGCUGACACAGAAAGAAACUCGAGAUAUAGACUAGCGGACUCAAACCAACACUAGUUUGGUAUAUGCAUGUCCAUAGCAAUCAGAUAUCCUCUCAGAAACAGGCAGUCGUGGUGAGGAAAAUUAACAUAAAAGCUGCCAGCUGAAAAUAUAGAAAUUGAUAUUUAAGCGGAAGACUGGCAUCAUUAGAGUUACUAGCACGCUUCUUACCUUCAAUCUAUUACUUCAGAAUUAGAAAAAAAUGCCUCUAAAUUUCUUUUUUUAUUGAAUCACAAAAGGAUUCCUUUUUCUGAAACAAUUAUAAGCAGGGAAGCAAUAAAUGUUUUCCCUUUGUUUCACCUAUCAAUAUUUCUGCCAGGAAAUGUCAUGCUUGAAUGUUUUUCCAUCACCUGAAAUUAGAUCAUUACAUAAACCAUAGCACAGACAAGUGUUUGUCCCCUCCCUAUAUCUGCAAUAAAUUCUUGAAUUUCCUUCCCGGUCAAAAACUUUAAUAGAAAAUACCGACUUUUUUAUCCAUGACACAAAAGUGCUCACAAACCAUGCAAAAACAGACAGCAGACACACCCACAGUUGAAGAUGCUCAGUUCAUGAGAAACGCAGGGGAAAUAAACAUACAAAAUAAAAAUAUUCAAUAAUUAGCAAUAUCAGGGAAUUGCAAAAGGAUGCCAACAUAAAACAGCAAGAAGAAAAGUCAAGUCACUUACCAACCAAAUGAAGACAUCUGUACCAUGGUCAAGAACAACAGCUGUAUCAGACUGCAUCGCAAGGUCAUAAGCUGGAAGUUCCUCAAAAGUGCCCCCUUCCCGGUGCAUUAGACAACGAGGUGCCACCAUACGGAGUGAAAGAUCAAAAGAUGCAUUCAAAAAUAAAUUCCGCAGCACAGACCUCUCAUCUUCAUGACCAACAAUGCUUCCCAAAAGAGGGCCCCGUCUAAGAUGGAAAAGGAGCUCUGGUAAUGCAGAGAGUUCUUUAGGAAAUCGAUGAAGUUUUGACUUGGGUACUAGGGACCCAAAUUUUAAAGCAAUGUCUUUAAUUCUUUCAUCUAUUGUUCCACGCAUAUCCAUGGCAUCUGAAUGGUUUUUGGCUCGCAAGAGGGUUCUCUUGGCCAUCAGGAUUGCAGCCACUUCAUCUUGAAAACUUUCAAGAUAUGCUGAAACACUAUCCACAGUAGGCAACCUGACAGUAACCACUCUUGAAAUAUCAGCUUGAUAAACGUUUGUGUAUUGAACAGUAAACUGGAAAAAUACACAAUCGCUCUUGAUGUCUCCUUUAGUUUCCAUAGAGAUUGCAAAGCUUUGGGUUUCUUCAACACUUAGCAUUUGAAUGCAGAGCGCAUUGUCAUUCUUGAAAGUUUCAUGUGUGUCUACAUGCGCUUCUUCACCAGGACCCACAACUUGAGUAAUUAAAAUAUCAUCAGAACAUCGAAUCUCCAACAAACCAUGGGAACCUGAUGCCCUAGAAGAUGCCCUUUGCAAAUUCACACCAAAGGCCUCCCCAAAGUCAUCGUGAAGAACCAAAACACCUCCAGAUGCCUUUGCAAGCGGCUGCAAAACUGGAAUUCUAACAGGGCAAGUUCCAGCACACAGAAUGUCAACUACUGUAUUAUUUCUAUGCGCUUCGCGGCCCAGGUUCUCCAUCCAUUUCAAGGCUGUUUUUUCCAGAUGAGGAUAAUUUGGGUGGCUAAAAGAAUGAGGAACUGAUCCAGGGCCCAUAUGUAUUAGGCCCGCCAGCACACACGAUGAUCCUGCUAUUGCCUCCAUUCCUUUUAACUACACCUCGGGACAUUUCUGCUGAUGGUCCUCGAAUUAUAGCCAGAGCAACCUCAACUGCAGUACCCAGGCACCGAUCUCUUAAAGCUUCUGCAAUGUUUGAUUUAUACGGUCUCUCAAAGAUGAGAAUAUUUUGUGCGCUACUUCCUUUGAAGCAUGCAUCGGUGACAAGUACACACCAGUUCCGUAGAUCAAUGCUUUCAAGGACUCUUGGAUAGGUGAUUUGUCACCAGGAAGUACAUCAGCAGAUGCCAUUGAUUCCUCUGAAAAAUCAUAAACUGACACUGUACGACCAUAAAGUAUUAUUCCAAUUCUUGCUGUAGGGGGGAGUGAAUCCGCAAAUGCA
rnacentral:lncRNA from 1 species